CACUGAUACUUGCAGCUGCUGCUGCUAUUGUAUGGCCUGCACAGCUUCAGUGAGGCCUCUGACCUGCUGCACCAGUAGGUUGAAUUGCUCCACAUCAACCAUCAUUGCCGGAGGAGGGGGAGGAGGUUGGGAAACUGGAGGUGAGGCCAGAGCCUGAGAUCUGGCCGCGGAGGUCAUGGAUAGCCGCGUGGAUGCUUUGCGGGGAUGCAUCGGGCGAAGACCUAGUGGGGGAAGGAGGAGUGGAUGCCGGAAAAGAUGACCGAAGGUGGUCCCGUUGAGUGCUCCUUUAAGAACAAGGGUACUACAAAGAUAUAGCCCUUCCUCUAGCGCCAAUCCUGUUGGUGCAAAAAUCUGCCUGCAUCGGAGAAGCUAGAGUCGAGGG
rnacentral:lncRNA from 1 species